rnacentral:rRNA from 1 species
AUACGGAGGAUCCGAGCGUUAUCCGGAUUUAUUGGGUUUAAAGGGAGCGUAGGUGGACAGUUAAGUCAGUUGUGAAAGUUUGCGGCUCAACCGUAAAAUUGCAGUUGAUACUGGCUGUCUUGAGUACAGUAGAGGUGGGCGGAAUUCGUGGUGUAGCGGUGAAAUGCUUAGAUAUCACGAAGAACUCCGAUUGCGAAGGCAGCUCACUGGACUGCAACUGACACUGAUGCUCGAAAGUGUGGGUAUCAAACAGGGUUAGAUACCCUGGUAGUCCACACAGUAAACGAUGAAUACUCGCUGUUUGCGAUAUACAGUAAGCGGCCAAGCGAAAGCAUUAAGUAUUCCACCUGGGGAGUACGCCGGCAACGGUGAAACUCAAAGGAAUUGACGGGG